UCAACAGUGGAUUCUGGAGAAGAAUGAGGUUGCAGAGAGCCAUGGGGAUUUCUAAGGGUGGUUGCCCGUCUCUGUAAGCCGAUGAUUUUUCCACAAUGUAAACAACCCUUAUUAUGUAUGUAUGUAUAUAUCUAUGAUCUAUCUAUGGCUCUGUUUGGUAUCGCUGUUUAGCUAUCUUUAUCCCUAGCGUAUUGGCUGCUGAGAUCCGAGCAAUCGGCAGCUUCUCAUUCCUCUUCACCCUUCCCGCCCUCUUUUUCAUCGGCGCCACAGCCACCGCCACCACCAUACUCAUCACGAAAUUCAUGGAACUUAAGCAUCUGAUUAACCAGUGAUUUUCGGUUACGUGUGAGUCAGUGAUGAUGAAUUUCUAGAGUUCACUGGGCAUCGAGAGAAGCUGAUCCCUUUAUGGCGUGGCGAUUUGUGAUCCCGAGAUAUAUCUCAUGUGCGAUCUGGAUUGCAGCCAUGGGGGUUGUCUUCUCUACCAUGCCUGUCUAAAUGACAGAUCUGAGACUCAUUUUGAUGAUAAAAUUGGAUCUAUAGUAAAUGAGUUUCAGCUCAUGAAGGAAAGAUCAGGUCCAAUUUGGUUCGCUAUUCCGACCAUGAUUGCCACACCACUAGACCAUGAUUGCCACACCACUAGGGGGAAAGUACUUCCCUUUAGGCCGGUUGUGGGCGAGGAGGGAUUCGGACCCUCGACAAUGUAGUUUUUCGCCACACGCUCUAAUCCUCUGAGAGGCUGCAGGGGGAUGCGAAGUUUCUAAGGGUGAUUUCUCCCCUCUGCAUACCAAUGAUUUCCCCUAAUCGUCAAAAUCAAUUACCCUUUUGAAAUGCAGUACGGUGUAGUACUAGUAUAUAUGUGCUAUGCUUUCUGGUCCAUGGUAUAACGAUAUAUUUGCUGUCCUUUAUGGUCCAUGGUAUAACAAUUUAUUAAUUUGCAAUUGACGCUUCUAUUAGAGGUGUUGUUGCUUUCCCACCAAUAGGCUGUGAUGAUGGUAGUAAGAGCUGUUUAGAGUUUCAUGGGCUUAGAGGCAAUGUGAUCUGUAUCUUGGCAGGGCAAAUCCGGAUGAAACUGAGGUUUGCAGCCAUGGCGGUGUCUCUCUCCUCUUGCCCAUUCAUAUAUAGAAGAUCUGAGCCUACAUUCUUACUCUUCAUUCCAGAAGAUGCUGUUGAAAAAAAAUUCAAACAUUUAUGCAUUGUGACAAUUUUGGCCAAACCUUCUAUAUUUGGCAUGGAACUUUUGUACACUUUGCAUCAAAUCUCUCUCAUGAGAUUUAAUUCCUUUCAGUUUUCUCAGCUCAGAAAUGAAUGAUGGUGUAGGAGAUUUUGGGGCUUUUUAAGGGUGGUUGCCCAUCUCUGUAUGUCUGUAUUUCAGCAAUUAACAACCCUUACAUUUUUUUUUUGAGUACUACUGACUCUGACUCUAUUACAAUAUGUAGUAUCUGUUCAUGAAUAUGAAUACAGGCCAAUGUGUCCUGUAUACAUAUGUGGGUUUAGGGUUUGGUUUUGAGUUAGGGUUGAUAUCCAGCCCUGCUUCCCCUUAUUUAUCUUCUUCUUCUUCUUCUUCUUCAUGAAUCAUGAUUAUCCUUGUUCUCAUUUUCUGAUUUUUCAUGGAUGGGGAUCAUGGGGCUGUGAAGAUGAAGUUCUAGAGUUUAUUGGGCAUAGAAAAACCAAUGCAUUCAUGGCAGGGCGACCUUGAAGGCAAGAGUGAUAUGUCACUAGUGCAACUGGGUUGGCAGCCAUGGUGGUUGUCUUCUCUACUAUGCUUGUCUAAAUACACAUCUGAGCCCUAUUUUGAUAAUAAUAAAAUUGUGUAUUGGUUGACCAUGAAAGCAGUGUUUCAACUCAGGAAGGAAACAAGGCUGCAUAGGGAUGGGAUUUUCUUGGGGUGGUUGCCCAUUUGUCUGCCAAUGAUUUCCCCAACUCUCUUCAAAAUCAAUAACCCUUUUGGAAUCUAGUACUAGAAUCCAGCGUACUAUUAUGCUUUGUUUAUCCUUACAAUACUCUCUCACUUUCAUAUUAUCAUAUAUUUGCUAUCCACCCACUAUUUUUGUUGUUAUUGUUAUUGUUAUUAUUACACAAUGUACAUUGCUUUCUGCUCAUUGAAAUACUCUUAAUGUCACUGUUAAUCUUGGUAGGCUGUGAUGGUGGCAAAACCUUUCUUAGAGUUUCGUGGGCAUUGAGAUAACAAAACCUGUAUCUUGGCAGGGUAAACAUGCACAUAAUUGAUGUUUGCAGCCAUGGCGGUGUUUCUCUACUUUUGCCCAAUCAUGUAAAAGACCUGAGCCUCCAUCCUUACUCUUCAUGAAUGUGUUGAACUAAUAUAUAUGUAAAUGUGUGUGUGUGUGUGUGUGUGUGAUAGUAUUUAGCACCAUUAAUACCGUGUGUGUGUGUGUGUGUGUGUGAUAGUAUUUAGCACCAUUAAUACCGUGUGUGUGUGUGUGUGUGUCAGUGUGUGAUUGAACUCUAAUCAAACAUUGUUGUAUGCCCAAAGCCAAAAUUGUGCUUUUUUGAAUUUUUUUGCAAGAGAAAAUUUGAUGGUUGUGAAUAAUACAUGUUGAUCUCUUCUAGCAUCUAAUUGUCUGUUUCCAAUUGAAGGUAAUGCUGUUGACCCUUAAGAUAUGUUUUUUUAGAUGUACGCAUGCAUAUAUGCUGGUUCCAUUCUAAGCACUUAGUUGUCUGUUUCAUGAUCUUUUCUUAUUUGUCAAAACUCAUAACUAGGAGUAGCAUUUAGAAAGUGCAUAAAGAGCAGCGGCAUAACAUACCUUAACGGCUUAACAGGCAUUUUUUAGCCAUCCCUUCACAGUUUUACUUGAAACAAACCUGAUAGACAACAUUGUCGCCCUGCCCACUUCAUGCUCCUGCACUGUUACACCAUCACUGAAAUGCCAUGACAAGAGUGCCCAACAAGAAUGACAACUUGCUUGAUGUGCCAUUACAAUUUGGUGUUGUAUACUUGUAUGGCUUCUUUUAGUGUCAACUUGUGAUUCCAUUACAUCUCUGAUUGGACUUGAGAGCUAGCAGGUGGAGUGUUUUGUUGUUCUUGUUAUAAACUCAAUAUAACUAAUUAGGUUAUGGAAAUAUGUUAAGAAAACCAAAUAAGAGGUCUCUUGUUUUUCAAAAAUCUUUGUAAAAUUUUAUUCUGAACUGGAGAAUUUUACUACUCACCAUUUAUCAGCUUUA